GCCAGCUCACUUCCGUGCUAAGUCGCCCACGCCUCUCCCUCUCCCUCUCGUGCGUGUGCCGAGCCAUGGCUGCCACGGCCACGAGCCGAGCUCGCCCCUGCUGGAGCCCCAUGUCCCCCAAACCCUAGCCCCCUUCCUCCAUUGCCGCCGCCACCCCAAGCUCCGCUUGCCGCCGGCCGCUGUCGAUUGCCUCCUCCGGUGCCCCGCUGGAGCUCUCCCAUCGGCGCCACCUGUCCUUGUUGCGCCGCCCCCUCCGCCGCCGUUCCUACAGUCUGUGUCGCCGGUGAGGUUCGCCGGCUACUCCCCUCCCUUGUGCGUGUGCCUGUGAUCCUAACGCUCCUCUACUUGUGCCGCUACGCUGAAGCACGGCCGCUUGCUGGUCACCUGCGUGCGUGUUCUGUGGAGAAGAGAAGAUGAACAUGACUGAACCGUCGGAGAAUGAACCCGUUGAGCCUGCCGAGUCCGUCGAGCCUGAACUCGGAGUCCAGUUUGUGGUCGAGCCC